rnacentral:rRNA from 1 species
CCCAAAUGCUUUCGACCACGAUCCGCGCUAACAAACACGUCAGUUCCCGCGACUGAAGCCAUNAGGUCCUACGUGCCAACUCACGCGAUUAUACGUAGGUGGCAAGCGUUGUCCGGAAUUAUUGGGCGUAAAGGGCGCGUAGGCGGUCCCUUAAGUCAGAUGUGAAAUCCCGAGGCUUAACCUCGGGCGUGCAUUUGAAACUGGGGGACUAGAGUGCAGGAGAGGUAAGUGGAAUUCCUAGUGUAGCGGUGAAAUGCGUAGAUAUUAGGAGGAACACCAGUGGCGAAGGCGACUUACUGGACUGUAACUGACGCUGAGGCGCGAAAGCGUGGGGAGCAAACAGGAUUAGAUACCCUGGUAGUCCACGCUGUAAACGAUGGAUACUAGGUGUGGGAGGUAUCGACCCCUUCCGUGCCGCAGUAAACGCAAUAAGUAUCCCGCCUGGGGAGUACGGCCGCAAGGUUGAAACUCAAA